rnacentral:rRNA from 1 species
AGUGAACGCUGGCGGUAGGCCUAACACAUGCAAGUCGAACGGCAGCACAGUAAGAGCUUGCUCUUACGGGUGGCGAGUGGCGGACGGGUGAGGAAUACAUCGGAAUCUACUUUUUCGUGGGGGCUAACGUAGGGAAACUUACGCUAAUACCGCAUACGACCUACGGGUGAAAGCAGGGGAUCUUCGGACCUUGCGCGAUUGAAUGAGCCGAUGUCGGAUUAGCUAGUUGGCGGGGUAAAGGCCCACCAAGGCGACGAUCCGUAGCUGGUCUGAGAGGAUGAUCAGCCACACUGGAACUGAGACACGGUCCAGACUCCUACGGGAGGCAGCAGUGGGGAAUAUUGGACAAUGGGCGCAAGCCUGAUCCAGCCAUGCCGCGUGUGUGAAGAAGGCCUUCGGGUUGUAAAGCCCUUUUGUUGGGAAAGAAAAGCAGCAGGUUAAUACCCCGCUGUUCUGACGGUACCCAAAGAAUAAGCACCGGCUAACUUCGUG